AUUGAACGCUGGCGGCAUGCCUUACACAUGCAAGUCGAACGGCAGCACGGGAGCAAUCCUGGUGGCGAGUGGCGAACGGGUGAGUAAUAUAUCGGAACGUGCCCAGUCGUGGGGGAUAACGUAGCGAAAGCUACGCUAAUACCGCAUACGAUCUACGGAUGAAAGCGGGGGAUCGCAAGACCUCGCGCGAUUGGAGCGGCCGAUAUCAGAUUAGCUAGGUGGUGAGGUAAAGGCUCACCAAGGCGACGAUCUGUAGCUGGUCUGAGAGGACGAACAGCCACACUGGAACUGAGACACGGUCCAGACUCCUACGGGAGGCAGCAGUAGGGAAUUUUCCGCAAUGGGCGCAAGCCUGACGGAGCAAUGCCGCGUGAGGGAAGAAGGUCUUCGGAUCGUAAACCUCUUUCGUUUGGGAAGAAACGUGGGUUCAAGAAACGGGAUUCGCGAGACGGUACCAGAGGAAGAAGCCCCGGCUAAUUACGUGCCAGCCGCCGCGGUAA
rnacentral:rRNA from 1 species